rnacentral:lncRNA from 1 species
CAUGCCACAUGCCCUAAAAGGCCAAAAAAAAAAAAAAAUCGCAAUGACCGCUAAUGUGUAUCGAGCAUGUAUAAAUAAGCACUUUGUAUGUGUAACCUCAUCUAAACUUCGCAACGACCCUGCAAGGUGAUUGCUCCAUUUUAUUCCAUUUUCCUGAUGGAGAAGUUGGGUGCCAGUGAGGAAUGGCCAUUUACAGUGAGUAAGUGCUGGAGCUGGACUUGAGCCCAGCUUAUCCGACUCCAGAGUCUGUGCUAAUCACGAGUCCUUUGUGAGUCCCAGGCCAUGCUUCUGUUCCUCCCUGGGAAGUGGCUCAAGCUGCCUGCCUCUGUCCUUCUGGUUGACUCCCCCUGCUUAUGUACUUGGCUGCCAUAUUGAUUUUCCUAAUCUCAUCACCGCCCCACCACCACCUGUACAAGCUUCAAUUCCUUUGCCUGCCACUCUGGUUCCUCUGAUCUAGCUAAAGCUCACCUCUGGGCUCCUGGCCCUCACUGCCAUUCCUCUGGCUGCUUGCACGAAAUCAGCAGGCUAGACUCUCAGUGUUCUUACAGAUGCCCUCAUGCCUGAGGCCCUUGCUGGUUGUGCCUUCUGGCUGGAAUUUCUCCUCUCCUCUCAUUCUAGGCCCCAACUGCACAUGCCCAGAUCUUGCCCAUCUCGUCGGGCUUCGCUCAGCUGCCUCCAUUGGCAUUGGGCCUUUCUUGAUUUCCUCAGCUGGGCCCAAAUUCUCCCUUCUCUCUCCUUGCAUAGGAUUCAAACUGUCUUAGGCCACUAACCACUUCCAUAUCAUGCAUACAUACAUGUGGUCAGCCAUUCAACAUGUUCUGAGCCUCUCGCAUGCAGUGCUGCAUGUAGAAAUAGGUCCCAGCCCUGAGAGUACUAACUGCAUGGAGACUUGAUACCAGUGUGGGCCAGGAUAUGUCUGUUUUGAAUGAGUGAAAGCACUCGAUACUCCCUGAUGUUUAAAGGAGGUCUGGAGGGGGACCCAGUGAUGAGUUGGAUGUGCUGUGUAGAAAGCUGGGUGGUUGGUCCUUUAUCGCCGUCUAUGCCAGCAGACCUUCUGACUUGUCUAGGAAGGAGCAAAUUGAAACAGCCCCUCUUUCAUCCUCUUCUGAGGAUGGCCUGCUCUUCUGGCUCAGACACCUCCCCUCUACGUGCCUGGCUUGCUCCUGGGGGCCAGGUGCUCACAAAUGGCCAGGAUGUCGUGAGCAAGACUAGCAGGGUUUAUGAUUGUCCUGAGGGCUUCCUGUGGUUGGGGGCAGCCUGACCUUGCAAGUGAACCAAGACUGUCCACCUGUCCACCAAGACUUUCCAAAUGCUGUGCUGAGUCCACGGAGUCAUGUUUAAGCUCUGGGUGUGGAGGAAAGAGAGAAACACCAAGUUUUAUAGAAAGUUCUAGAGCAGGGGUCAGCAAACCCCAGUCCACGGGCCAGAGUCUGGCCUGCCCCCUGUGUGUGUCCAGCCCACAAGCAGAGAAUGGUUCUGGCAUGUUUGAACGCAUGGGGGAAAAUAUCAAAAGAAGGAGAGUAUUUCAUGGCAAGUGAAAAUGAUAUGAAAUUCAAAUUGCCACGUCCAUAAAUAAAGUUGUGCUGGAACACAGCCCUGCUCGUUUGUUUCCAUCUCGUCCGUGGUUGCUUAGGCGCCACAACAGCAGCGCUGAGGAGUUACGACAGAGUUCGCAAUGCCCACGAAGCCUAAAUAUUUAUUCUCUGGCCCUCUACGGGGUGAAGUUCUUUCUAGAUCCAUCCCUUUUGGUCAAGAAUAAAGGAUCCCCAGCGUGCAGGGCCAGUCAGCUAGAGGCCCGGGAUCAAAGGCACAUGUUCAGGGGCCUGCAAAUGGACAAAGCCUUGGCUUGGGGUUUGGUAUCCUGAGUUUCUGUGUGGUUUGGGGUGAGACCUUCUCCUCGCUGGGUCAUCGGUUUGGGCUGCGUGGUCUCUAAGGCCCCAUCUCCCUCACAGGUGGGUGUGCUGCUCUGGUCUACAGGGUGUGUAUUGCAGAAGGAUGGCUCCGGGGCUUCGGCCUGGGGACCCAUCAGGGUCCCAGCUUGGCCCACUGGUGGACACAGGAGCCCCUUGGCUGCCCCACCAGGAGCCCCUUGGCUCCCCCACCACUCACCAGGACCACCAUCUCUUUCCCCCCAUCGAUCUGUGUUUGGACUCAGUUCAGCUAAUUUUUGAAGCACCCCAGGUCUAGGCGGACUGUAAUUAUGUAAUUCGUCCUUGUUAUCUUUUCUAAUUGUUCUCAGAGCUGUUUCCUAAACUGAUUGGAAACAAUUGCAGGCAGGGAAUGGAGUGGGAAGUAGGCAAGGACCUGGCGGCCGGCCAGGACCAGGCUGUCUGCUGGAGGCCCUGUCUGAGGGGGUGGGCGCAGGGUGGGGACGGAGAGGGUGACUGCCCACGGUUCCUUGCAUCUGGGCAGUGGGGGGGACAAGAAGAAACCCUCAGCGAGGCUCGGUUUAAUCAUUCGCAAAUAACAACCCUCCCUCCCCACAGGCCGGCUGUUUUCCCUUUCUUGGCGGCUUCUGUGACGCUGGUACAACUCCCUAGGGAUUCUGCCCCGGGCCAACAGGGAGCAGCGCCCUUCCCUCCUGGCUCUGAAUUGUUUGUGCUUUCUUGACAGAAAAAAAUUGCAACUCUUGAGCCAUCCAUCACCCCCCGCCGAAAGCCAGGGAGGGCAAGGGGAGGGACGAGGUGGGACUUCCUGCCACUUCGGGUCAGAGCGGGAGAAAAGGGACUCUCUGGGUCAUGUCUCCCGGGAAGGGCAGCCAAGGUGCUACUUUCCGUGGGCCAGAACCCCAGGAAAGGGACCCACAUGUUCCCUGCAGGACCCUGCUGUGGGAAACGUGGCCCCUGGCUGCACAGUGCUCUGCGCCGCUGGGGCCAGGCAGAGGACAGCACAUGCUGGCACUUGGUCGGGGGCACCCAUCUCUUCCUCCUGCUCUUCCUUAAGGUGAGCCUCAGCUCCUUGUCUGUGACCAUGACAUCCCCCCCCUCGCCCAUUCCUCUCCUCACCUGCCUGCAGAAACCUUGUGAGACGACUCCCAAUAAAAGUGCCAAGGGUCCAGCAUUCCUAUCCUGGCUCAUCGGUAAUGAACCUGAUUAGUAUCCAUGAGGAUGAGGGUUUGAUCCCUGGCCCUGCUCAGUGAGUGAAGAAUCCAGCGUUGCCGUGAGCUGUGGUGUAGGUCGCAGACGUGGCUCGGAUCCCGUGUUGCUGUGGCCCUGGUGUUGGCCGGCAGCUGCAGCUCCAAUUUUAAUCCCUAGCCUGGACCAUAUGCUGCAAGUAUGGCCCUAAAGAGAGAAGAAAAUGCCGAGUUUCCUAGAAAGGGCAGAUGAGCUGGGACAGGGAGGAGACACCCACCGUGCGGGGCACUUAAUGCCCCCCCCACCUGUCGUCAGCAUCGUCUCUGUUAAAUUCACAAACCCCCUCUGAGGGAGGGGAGAUGGGAGGCCCAUUCUUCAAUGGGGAAAAGAAGGGUUGAACGAUUCCACAAACACGGGUGAAGCACCCCGUGUGUGACAGGGACUAGAGAAGGCGCUGGACACAGGAGGUGGAAGCAGACGGACCUGACCCUCCAGGCUGCCAUGAUGGUGAAGCCAUGUGUCUGCCUCCCAGCUCCUUCCAUCAGACUGAAGCUGCCCGUCGAGGCAGAGACGGGUUAAGCAGACUCCGCGUUAUUUGCUUGGAGGACCUCAGCCCAGGGUCCCUUUGUGUAUUGGGGGGGGGGGAGCGAGGAACCAUCACUGGGGUGUGGCGGGGCACGGGGCACAGGUGUCCAUCUGCUGGGUACCACUCUCUCCCUCUUCUUGUUUCCCAGCUGCUGGACGAGAGUGUGAGGGGUGCCUGUGGCAUGUUGGGGACCCAAAGUCCAGCCCUCUCCCAAGAUUGCUGGAACCUCCCGCCACCUCUACAGCUUAGCAUUGCCUUGGUUGGGACAUCUAGGGGUCACUGACCCAUUUCACGGCAGAGCCCGCUCCUGUGCCCCAUUUCCUGUUCCGUCAGGGAGGUCGGUCUCCAGACGGUAGUUGUCAGUAGAUCCAGCCUGUGUGGCCCUGGAGGGGACUCUGGGGCCCAGCAUUUCUCAGCCUUUUCCUCAUUAUCACUUUUCUCCACUAGGAGGAAAAGUCAACUAAAUUGAGAUUUUUUGAGUGAGGAGGUAGCCAAGGUAUGAGAAUUUGAGUUUUGGAAGGUCACAGAGGCUGUAAUAACCAAGAGGGGGUUGCCCUCCUUUUUUGCCCUCUUGGGGGCGCUGUUGCCCCCUUGAGAAUGCAUGUCGUCGGCUUUCCAGAACUUGUUUCCAAAUUAGGUACCAUUUCUCUGUAGUCUCCUUUAACACAUAAAAACAAGGGUCUUCGCGAAUGAAGAACACGGUUUCAAGGACCGAGUCAGACACACAAAUUUGGCACUAAAUCUGCUGCUGGAGCAAAUGGUUCUCCAUGUCUGAGCCUCACUUUUUCCAUUUAUAAAACUCAGAACCUGCUUCUGCUCCCUCAACCAACCAGGAGGCCACCCCUAGGGUCAUGCACGCCUGAUACUGGCCACACGCGUGGGCCUCACAGUGGGGUCAGGGGUCAAGGCCCUAUUCUUCCCUUAGCACCCUCACCUCCCAGCCAGAGGAGGGGUGCCCCAGUGGGCGGAGCCCUGCUCUCACCCCCAUGGCUGGCAGCUCUUCGGUCGUCACUGUGGGACAGUAGAAGGCUGGGGAUGGGCUGCGCUGGUGGGUGGGGUUUGCAGGAGAAUCAGGGGACUGUGCGGCCCCUUUGUCGUCUUCUCCUUGGCCUCCCUUCUUUCUGCAGCCCUGUUUGAGCACGGGUUUCCCUCUGCCGGGAAGGUCUUCUUGCUCCUUCUCCAGGGACCAAAACCCCACUGGACUGCCUUCCUUCUGAGCGGGGAGCCUCUGGCCUGCACUCCAUGAAGUGUGUUCUCAGCUUUAGGGCCACUGGAUAGGGUGAGCCUGGGGGAAGCAGAAGGGCUGCAGAAGCCCCCGGAGGCCUCCAGAGAGGAACAAGCAAGUCACCCAGGGUCCCACCCGGUCACCUGAUGCAUAGCUUCAUGGGCGGCACAAAUGAGAAACAGGCUCCUGGAGUCUGGCCAUGGCUUCUCUUUCCUCCAGCGUCUCGCUCCUCCCUCUUUUUCUCUUCCCUUCCUUCCUCCUUGAGUCCGUGCCUGGCUGGGUGUCCGCCCGCUGGCCUGCCUCUGAUUGGGCUGAAAGGCAGGUACCCCCAGUCAAGGCAGGGCUUGAGGUGGGAUGGGAGGAGGAGGCGUGGGGGGAAGGGGGGCGAAGAGGGGCCCAAUAAGUGGAAAUUAGCCCCUCCCCCCACCGCCCAGGUCAGCCCACCGAGUCCCUUCCCUUUCCCAUCAAGGUCAUAAAAUCCACUUCUAACUUUUACCAAUUUCCCCGCUAGUACCAGAAACACACAAUUAGCUUUAAACGUGUCUCCAAGCUGUGGCCAGUUAGAAAUUUAUGACUUUUUCUUUUUUUUUUUUCUUUUAAAGCUUUCCUUUAAAGUGGCUAAUUAGGUGUAUUUCUCCAAUAGCAAUUUUUAAAAUGCUAAUUGGUCUGCACUCUGGAAGGAGGGGAACUUUCCCCCUUUAUUAUCUCAGCGCUGAGGAGGCAUGGGAGGGACCAGCCCAGCCUGAGUGGUCUGCAGCCUCCAAGGCCAGGGGCCCGGCGCCGGCCUUUUAUGGCUUUGGCAGCGAGGAGGGGGUCAGGGAGAAAGGUUUUCCGUGUUCCAGGCGGCUUCCUUGGGAAGGGGGUGUGGCACAGAGCAUCUGCGGAGGGCUACCGGGGAAGGGCAGGGCCACAGUGGUUCACCCACCUGGUGCAGUGGGGCCCAGACAGAUGCCUUCACAGUGGCUUCCAGGAAGGAUGGAAGGGAGGGGAGGGUGCCUGGAGAGCUGACCCCUAGCAAGACUAGCACAGAUCUUGAGGGCUGCUAAACCCCAAGUAGGCAGAAUAUGCACUUUAGGGGAGGCUGUUUAUUCCAAGAACAAUUCCAAAUCGAACUUUCUCAAAGGGGCAGAGGCCAUGGUGUGUGGUGUCCUCACAAACUCUUGACUCCUUGGCUAAAGGGCUUGCUCGGGAGAUGGUCUGGGGCAUCCAGACCAUGCUGCCCCAGGGUUGCACCACCCAGCAUGGGCUGGUGGGGUGGUGGUGGGGGGCAGUGAGCAGUGCCUUCUUCUGGAGGAAUGUCACGUUUUCCCCUGGGUGCAGGCACUCGUGGCUCUCGUCCUGCCAUCCAUCCCCGUGCGUUGCUAUGCGAAUAACACAAUUACGAAGACACAGCACAGGAAUAAACGGAAAACAUUCUGCAGCAGGGGGAGUGGGAGGGAGGACCAGUCACAAACAGAUAUUUUGUUAUUGGAUCAUUUCGGGGAGGAGUGGAAUUCUUUAAAUCCUGGGCUGUUGUAGAAGGGAGGAGUGAUGGACAAUUGAACAGAUUCCUCAGUUUUAUUUUUCAACAUUAGCUUGUUUUAUGCAUCUCUCCCAGCUCACCUCCUCUCUUUGGCUCCAUUGCCCUCUCGAGGAAAACCAGAUGCUACUCUAGCCCCGAGUCUGCAACCACGGCCCUACUCUGCUCAUGGACUCAGUUUACCCAUCAGUCAACUAGGAGGGGAGGCUGCCCCAGAAUUGGCCGAGGACAGAUGGAUUAGGGCGGGUGGAGCGGGGUCUGAAUCCUGGCUCUGCCCUUCCCAGCUGGGUGAGCUUGGGAGCAUCACUUGACUUCCUAAGCUUUGGUCUAUUGGGAAUGAAUCAAAUGAAAUAAUGCUCAAAUUGUGCAAAGUGGAAAUAGAGCCUUGAUACAAUUGUUAACACAAAAGUGAACUGAGAUGGUGGAUGCAAAGUAUCAGGCAUGGAGCUGGAAACGUGUGGCUCUCUGGAGGGCGGCUUCUACCUUAAGAAUAAUCUUUCUUGGGAGCUCCCAUUUGGGCUCAGUGGGUUACAAACCUGACUAGUAUCCAUGAGGACGCAGGUUCAAUCCCUGACCUCGCUCGGUGGGUUAAGGAUCGGGCAUGGCCAUGAGGUUUGAUAUAGGUCGCAGAUACGGCUCGGAUCUGGCAUUGCUGCAGCUAUGGCACAGACAGGCAGCUGCAGCUCCAGUUCAGCCCCUAGUCUGGGAACUUCCAUAUGCCGCAGGUAUGAGCCUCAAAAGCCAAAAAAAAAAAAAAAACAAAAAAAA